rnacentral:rRNA from 1 species
UACGUAGGGGGCAAGCGUUGUCCGGAUUUAUUGGGCGUAAAGAGCGUGUAGGCGGCCUGACAGGUCUGCUGUGAAAACUCGAGGCUCAACCUCGAGAUGUCGGCGGAAACCGUCUGGCUAGAGUCCGGAAGAGGAGAGUGGAAUUCCUGGUGUAGCGGUGAAAUGCGCAGAUAUCAGGAGGAACACCGAUGGCGAAGGCAGCUCGCUGGGACGGUACUGACGCUAAGGCGCGAAAGCGUGGGGAGCGAACAGG